GAUGGAUAACAGGUUGAUAUUCCUGUACCACCUAUAAUCGUUUUAAUCGAUGGGGGGACGCAGUAGGAUAGGCGAAGCGUGCGAUUGGAUUGCACGUCUAAGCAGUAAGGCUGAGUAUUAGGCAAAUCCGGUACUCAUUAAGGCUGAGCUGUGAUGGGGAGAAGACAUUGUGUCUUCGAGUCGUUGAUUUCACACUGCCGAGAAAAGCCUCUAGAUAGAAAAUAGGUGCCCGUACCGCAAACCGACACAGGUAGUCAAGAUGAGAAUUCUAAGGUGAGCGAGCGAACUCUCGUUAAGGAACUCGGCAAAAUGACCCCGUAACUUCGGGAGAAGGGGUGCUCUUUAGGGUUAACGCCCAGAAGAGCCGCAGUGAAUAGGCCCAAGCGACUGUUUAUCAAAAACACAGGUCUCUGCUAAACCGUAAGGUGAUGUAUAGGGGCUGACGCCUGCCCGGUGCUGGAAGGUUAAGAGGAGUGGUUAGCUUCUGCGAAGCUACGAAUCGAAGCCCCAGUAAACGGCGGCCGUAACUAUAACGGUCCUAAGGUAGCGAAAUUCCUUGUCGGGUAAGUUCCGACCCGCACGAAAGGCGUAACGAUUUGGGCACUGUCUCAACGAGAGACUCGGUGAAAUCAUAGUACCUGUGAAGAUGCAGGUUACCCGCGACAGGACGGAAAGACCCCGUGGAGCUUUACUGUAGCCUGAUAUUGAAAUUCGGCACAGCUUGUACAGGAUAGGUAGGAGCCUUUGAAACGUGAGCGCUAGCUUACGUGGAGGCGCUGGUGGGAUACUACCCUAGCUGUGUUGGCUUUCUAACCCGCACCACUUAUCGUGGUGGGAGACAGUGUCAGGCGGGCAGUUUGACUGGGGCGGUCGCCUCCUAAAAGGUAACGGAGGCGCUCAAAGGUUCCCUCAGAAUGGUUGGAAAUCAUUCAUAGAGUGUAAAGGCAUAAGGGAGCUUGACUGCGAGACCUACAAGUCGAGCAGGGUCGAAAGA
rnacentral:rRNA from 1 species